GUGUCAGCAGCCGCGGUAAUACGUAGGCAGCAAGCGUUGUUCGGAAUUACUGGGCGUAAAGAGUGCGUAGGCGGUUGGCUAAGUUUGAUGUGAAAUCUCCCGGCUUAACUGGGAGGGUGCGUCGAAAACUGGUCAGCUAGAGUGCGGGAGAGGAUAGUGGAAUUCCUGGUGUAGCGGUGAAAUGCGUAGAUAUCAGGAGGAACACCUGAGGUGUAGACGGCUAUCUGGACCGUAACUGACGCUGAGGCACGAAAGCGUGGGGAGCAAACAGGAUUAGAAACCCGUGUAGUCC
rnacentral:rRNA from 1 species